AAAUCCAAUAUCUAUGCUUUUGUUGCUCCUAAAGCUGUGCCAUGGGUCAAAGAGGAUGAUCACCUCUGACAGAGGAGGAACAUCCUCGGUUAAGGGUAGAUGAGUAGUUGCAUCCCCUGCUAGAACCUCCAAACAAGCUCCCAGUAUCCAUUCUUCAGUCCAAGGGGCUGGCACCAUUAGACACUACUUAUGAAACUCAGAUUUUGUUUUGAAACUUUCUCUUUCUUU
rnacentral:snRNA from 1 species